ensembl:lncRNA novel transcript
ACUCCACUUCCUUCUAAUUUCCCUUCCUCUGCAUUUUCAGUGAAUUUGUUUCUGUUCCUUCAAAUUCCAGCCUGUUCUUCCCAGACUCUCCAAGAUAUGCAGAGCUUUGGGCCAGGAUCCUACAGCCACGGGUCAUGCAGAGCCAGUUGGCCACAUCCUUUGGGCCAAAUUUGGUCCUAACCAGGUCUUACCACGGUAACUGCUAACCAGUCCAUCUUCAGUUAAUAUUUCAUGCGUAAGAUGUUUCAUGAAGUAACUGAAUGGGCUAAUGGGUUGUUCACUGGAUAAGACUCCCAGAUACUCCCUUUCAUGCCAUUCCCCAGAAUUCCUUCACCUCCCAGUGCUGUCUGUAAGGGUGAAGAUACUCCAUUUUGCCCCAUGCUCUUUGCUGUGCCCCAGAUAGGCUCAAACAUUUUUCCCUUUUGGGGAUUUUGCAGGUAGGAAUUGUUGAACAUCUUACCAUUUAAUCCAGAAGUUAUGUCCUUUAAGGAAUCGACCCUGAGCCUGUGAGUUUUACUUUGGGUUGGGGGUGAAGGAGUGGACCUUGCAGCAUUCAAGGUCAUCCAAGAUCAUCCAGUUAAGGCCCCUAAGGUCACUACGGGGGGAAAAGCCUGGUGAGGGAAGAGAAAGCAUUAGGGGGAGCUGCACCGUGCUGAGAAAUAACACCACACAGAAGUCUGUGUUCUAAUCUCAGCUCUGCUUUGCAUUACUGUGUGACCUGGAGCUGAUCACAGCCCUCUGAGUCUUAAAGGGGUUGGACAAGGCCAACUAAACAUUAGAAACACCUGAAAGUGCUGGUUAAAAGGAAGAAUGCAUGAGCUUCACUCCAGAUUUACUAUAUCAGAAUUUCCAGGGUCAGGGUCCAAGAAUCUGCAUGUUUAAUACGCUUUCCACAUGAUUUUUCCCCCCUCUGGACUUAAGAAAACAAUGGGCAAGUCAGCUCAUGAAGAACUUUUCAGAUAUUCAGACUAUUAUUCUGAGAGAGAAAAUAUUGGCAGAGAACAGAUGGGAUUUUUCUCAAGGAAAAGAAAUGGAAAUCCUACAUCUUGCAAGAAAUAGAAAAAAAUAAAUAAACUGUUUGAAGAAGAAUCACAUCAGGCUGGCAGGAGAGAGCCUGCGGCUCGGUGUCUGACCCAGAAUGUUAAAGCCAGCCUGGCUUGGCUCCAGGAUAAAGGACACUCUGUCAGCCUCUCCACAUUGAUUCAUCUCCCCAGCCCCAAGAUCAGGAGAGCAUUCUGUUCCUUGAAGCAUUUUAUGACUGUAAGUCAGAAGUGCUGCAGUUUUAAUAAAAAGCUGUAUUGUCCU